CCAACCAAAUAUGAAACCGUCUUGUGGCAUUCGUGGCGUUUUGUAGUUAUGGUUCGAGUUUGAUUUUGAUUUUUUGAGUACGUUCGAUGUGUACGGUGGGUAAAAAGUGAAUGACUUGUCAGAGUGUAUUGAACAAAUGGACAGAAAUAACAAUUCAUUUUUGGCAUUUUCCAAACAAUUUCUUUGACUCAUAUUUCUGCAGCAACACAUUUUUGACACUUUUGUCGAUGAUGAUGAUGGGCAAAAAUAAAAAUUGCCAGCGGGCAGAGCUAAUUCAAUUUGCAUAUUCUCAGACUGGAGGAAAACGAAACAAAUCGGAAAAAUUAUAAUAACAAUCUUUUUUGCAACUGAAACCGAAGCUAGGACCGAAAUAAACAUAAAUUUAAUGGUUACGACUUGGCAAGAGCACGGGGUGUGGGCUUUUGGGUGGAGAACCACAUAAAAAACGUGACUUUUCGUUAAAACAAAAUCUAUGUAUUUGCAUGUGCGUGUACAGUGCGUUUCGUGAUCGUAUUUUCCAUGAGUUCAUCUAUAAAUCGAUUGGCAGUGUCAGAAAAAAUCUGGUAAUUGAAUCAGUUUCGUUUAACAAAGUAAUCACAUUAAAUUUAAGAAUCAUGUCUGCUUUCUGUUCGGGUGUCUAAACCCAUUAAAUAUACUAAGCUUUCAAAACAA